UCCUCCGUGGCGCAAUUGGCUAGCGCGUCUGACUGUUACUGCUCUGGGUCUUUCUUCGAGAUCCUCCCAAAGUGGAACGCAAUCAGGAGGUUGACAGUUCAAGCCUGUCCGGGGGAG